ACCCAGCUCAGUACGCUCUCAGUCGUUGCGGGGGAAGCAUCGUUCGAUCUCGCUCCUGUCGCGGUCCAAGUCUGCGAAACAGAGAGAGCGAGAGAGAGAGAGAGAGUCAGACCUUCGGGAAUUUUCCUCUUUUGGAGGGGAAAAAAAAGGAGAGAUUUUCCCCCCCUCUUUCUACCUUAUGUGAUGUCGGACGGUUAAAUGUUUUUUUCCAAAAAAUUAAGAGUAGAAAAGACUUGCAUAUGGUGUCUGUGUGUGAUUUUAUUUUAUUUUUUUAUCAUUUCUUAAAAUUUUGGAUGAUCAUUUUGAGGACUGGACUUCGACGCGAAUGCCUAUAAGCGGAUUCCAUUUUUAGAUCGAGGCGUUGAGAGGCUAAGAAGAGAGCAGUUUUCAUCUAGAAACCAAGACGAAAAAAAUAGAAAAAAUUAACUAGAAUCUACAAGGAUACUUAGAAAACAGAUAAGGAAACUAAGACUAGAAACCUGAAUUUAAAAUCUAGAAACCACAAAAAGCAGAAUUUUGAAUUUAGAAACCCCAAAAACGGGAAGACAAUAAAAAGAAAUUAAGAGACAGAAACUUAAAUCUAGAAACCACAAAAAAUUCUAGAAAAAACAGAACCUUGCAUCUAGAAACCAAAAUUUAUAAUAUACGAAAAAAAAAUAGAAACCGGAUACCUAAGCCAAGAACCUAGAGAGAGAGA